rnacentral:lncRNA from 1 species
ACUGCCUCCAGUAAUACUCUCUUCUAAGUAAUCACUCAUAAAUAUGACAUUUCAGAACGUGCUGGGAGCAGCGCAGACAGUGUGUAGGGAGCCAUCCAGAGGCCCCACCCACCUGGGAAGCCAGGGAAAGCUUCCAGGGGGAGGGGGCGGUUCUGUGGGCUGCAGUCCGAGGGGGAAAAGCAAACGUGUAGGCAGCAGGAGUUGAGAGAUGGGAUCCAGACAAGGGCCUUCAGAUAUAUAAAUAUCCCUUUCUGAGACUGACGGGGGCGGUGGCGGUGGCGGCGGUGGCGGCGGCGGCGGCGGCGGGGCGCAGGGCUGAGCGAGCGUCCGGGUUCCGGGGCUCCGGGGAAGGCGGUUGCAGCUCCUGAGUGCAGCGCGGCUUCCUGCCACUGUCCCGGCCCGGCCACCUCUCUGUCAUGGCUCUGGCGGACAGCACACGUGGAUUACCCAACGGGGGCGGCGGCGGGGGCGGCAGUGGCUCCUCGUCGUCCUCCGCGGAGCCACCGCUCUUCCCCGACAUCGUGGAGCUGAACGUGGGGGGCCAGGUGUACGUGACCCGGCGCUGCACGGUGGUGUCGGUGCCCGACUCGCUGCUCUGGCGCAUGUUCACGCAGCAGCAGCCGCAGGAGCUGGCCCGGGACAGCAAAGGCAUUGUCAAGAAUGCCCAGGCGGUCUGGUACUUAAUAUGGAAGAAAUGUUUUUCACAAACAUUUUCUUUGACUUCUCUGCAGCAUAUGCCACUUGCUGUGUAUAGGGACAGGGAAAUAGAAGCUUCGAGAUGUGCUUUACUUAAAAGUACAGUUCAUGAGAAGGUUCUAAAAAAUGUUGGGAAAGAGGAGCUGCAUUUUUUGAUGUGGGGGCACUUUACUGCCUCAUCUCUAGUGGUUGAUGUUCCUCCUCUCUAAAGAAGGCACAGUGCUGCUAAGAUUGAGAAAUCACAGAAACAAGUCGUCUGGGUUAUGGCACCGGAAGCCAUGAGUCAGGCGGGUAGAGUGAGCCAGGCUUCACCCUUCCUCUUUCCUUUUGCCUGUACUUCCUCUGGAUAGCUUUUGUUUUAAAAGUGUGUGUGUGUAGACACAUUAUUUUUUGAAAAUGUAAUACAGAUUAACCCUCCUCCAGUAACCGCUAGUUUUUCCUAGAGGCCUCCCUUUUUUUUUUUUUUAUCUUUUCUGUAGAAAUCACACCUGUUCUGUGUCUUGCUUUCUGUUUGUUAACUACAUAUCCUGGAGCUACUGCAAUGCAUGAACAUGUGGCAAUGAUCUACCUCAUUUUGUUUGAUAGCUACAUGAUAUUCUACAUGACACGCCAUUGUCUAGAUGUGCUGUCGUUUAUUUUGUAAGUCCUUUAUUGAUAGGCAUUUAAAAUUCCGGGUAUUUUUUUUCUACUCCAAAGAGUGCUGUACUGAAUGUCUUUUUACAUAUAUGCAAAUAUAUUUGAGUCCAGCUUUUUUUGUAUGAAGUGAUGCCAAGAGAGAAAUGACCAGGAGGUACUUUUUCCUUCUUGAGGAACUAUGGAAACAGUGGGAUUCACUGGAAGCUUUUUAGGAAUUGGUGGGGGUGGUGUGAAAUCACUCUAGAGUCAUUAGGUAUAUA